rnacentral:rRNA from 1 species
CUUGGUGUUACUGCGAAGGGGGGACGGAGAAGGCUAUGUUGGCCGGGCGACGGUUGUCCCGGUUUAAGCGUGUAGGCUGGUUUUCCAGGCAAAUCCGGAAAAUCAAGGCUGAGGCGUGAUGACGAGGCACUACGGUGCUGAAGCAACAAAUGCCCUGCUUCCAGGAAAAGCCUCUAAGCAUCAGGUAACAUCAAAUCGUACCCCAAACCGACACAGGUGGUCAGGUAGAGAAUACCAAGGCGCUUGAGAGAACUCGGGUGAAGGAACUAGGCAAAAUGGUGCCGUAACUUCGGGAGAAGG